UUUGAGGUCGGUCCUGAUUCGUCUUCUCAGUAGACAGCAUCAUGGGAAACGCCUCAUAGAGCAAAUCUGUAGCCUCGCUUUACCCAUAUGAUCACUAUAUUGAGCAUGUGGGAUAAUGCUGCAGAACAAAC
rnacentral:snoRNA from 1 species